CACCUUUUUCCCUUUCUUUCCAUCUCCAGGGUUUGCAUUCAAAUGACGCUGCAUCCUGAGCCAUCCGGAUGGGACCGAGGCACGGAAACAAUGUUCAUUUUGAACCUUUCCUUUUUAAGUGCGAGCGAGGCACUCCGGCCUUAUGUGACGGCGAGGGAUAAGGAGUCGGACUACGAGAGGCGCGCUUAACCUCUGACCCCGGUGUCAGAGAGGGAGGGGUUACUCAACAGCCUCGACUUGCUCCCAAGGUUCAAGUGUCAAUCUCAAAAAAAAAAAAGAAAGAAGGAGAGGAAAGCGAAGGUGACGUCUAACUGAGAAAGCUUAGUUUCCUGUCGUUCUUGUGCGGUAGAAAAGCUCUGUCACUGGAUCCUCGUUAGCAAAGCUUGUUAAGAGACUUAAUUAGUCCAAUAUGGCUGUGCUGAUUGCUCCUCACAGGACAGAGGGCUCCAGCUCCAGUUUCAAUGUGCUUAUCAAAGCCAACACAAGGUCUCUAGUAGGUAAGCUUUUCUUCCUUUAGGUGCCCUCUCUGUUUGCCUGUCAAGCUCGUGUUAAAGGACCCCCCCCCCCCCCCAUCUCUGUCUGCCUAUCAAAUUUCGCUGAAGGACCCCCUUCAACUCUGCCUGUCAAAUUUUAUUUUGAACGCCACUCCAGCGCUCUGGGUUAAAUGCUUCAACAGAUCCGGGAUCCUAACAAUCUGCUUGUCACACGAAGCCACAACCAGUGAGCUCUUCCUCUUUAUCUCUCCCUCUGUCUGCCAUGAAAACAGAUAGCACGGGGGUUUGUGCAUAGAUAAACCACACAGCGCACUAGCAGGCAGUAAUCCCACCGUCCCCGUCUGCCGUACACCCCGCAGGUCAAUCUCAGGCUGCUUCCCCACCGGCUUCCCCUUUCACUCCUCUACCACCCGCUUGAAGCUGCCCGCUUUUGUAAUAAAGCUGCUAAACCGCAGUGCGAGCCCUCGCAAACCGCAGCAUUGGCUUCGGGGGUAAUUGCGCUGGAGUUCUCAGAACGCUCCAAUUCCCUUAAUUAUUAACGAGUGUUAUUGUAAAUUAUGGAUUAUUAGCUCCCCUCCACGACACCGAGCGGCCGGGGCACCGCCUCGUGAUGCCAGCAAACGGCAGGAACAGGUGAGGGGAAGAAAAAGCGACAGCGUAAUGAGCUGAGAGAGAGAGCUAAAUGAGGACAAAAACUCCAAAACGAGAAGCAAGGGUAAGAGGAAAGAGGAUUUUCGGAGAGGAGCUGGGAGCAGGAAGGUGAGGCAAGCUGCCAAGGCCCCAACUCCAUUUAAUCACUCAGCUGUUCCACCGCGCACUGCCUAUCCCAACGACUCAGCUCACCAGAAUGACUCAGAAAUCACUUGUGUGAGUUUUCAUUUAGAUGCAGUUAAAAUGAGAGAGACUUAUCAGAAUGCAUGCAUGUUUGUCUUUCUUUUUUUCUUUUUUUUCCAUCACCUUCACCAGCCUAUAUUCAUCUUUUGAUGCGGAGCCAUGGACUGAAUGUGGGACUAAUUGAGUGGGUCAAUUGCAACGCGGCGUGCAAAGCCGUCGUCAUUAAAUCAUUACAAAACACUGAAUAUGGAUUUGUGUCAUUUAAUUCACAAGAGGAGGGAGGCUUGCAGAGAUGCUAACUGAAUACAGUUCACGCUGAUUGUAAAUAUGGUUUUGUCCAUAAAGAGAAGUGAUGGCUGUGUGUGUGUGGGUGUGUUUGCACAGUUGUUAAUUGACUUAUCAGCAAGUUUUGUAUUACUGUGUUUGUCUCAUUGCCUUGAAUGUUCAGAUGACUAAUCCUCCCGUGUUUAGUCAGAUGUUUAGUUACAGUCUCAAGUUUGAAUCAUCUCCUGUUUGACUUACAGUAUAAAAGUCUUGCUUUUAAGGAA